AGCUCCAAGAGCGUAUAUUAAAGUUGUUGCAGUUAAAAAGCUCGUAGUUGGAUUUCUGGUAUAAUGCGCCUGGCCCGCGACGGUUACGUCUGUGAGUGCCGGUGCGCGUUUGCCAUCCUUCUAGAAAACGUUUCUACCCUUCGCUGGGCCGGACUCGGGAUCUAGAUCUUUUACUUUGAAAAAAUUAGAGUGUUUAAAGCAGGCUUUUGCUAUGAAUACAUUAGCAUGGAAUAAUGAUCUAGGACUUCGGUUCUAUUUUGUUGGUUUCUAGUACUGAAGUAAUGAUUGAUAGGGAUAGUUGGGGGUGCUAGUAUUGGCCGGCCAGAGGUGAAAUUCUUGGAUUCGGUCAAGACUAACUUAUGCGAAAGCAUUCACCAAGGAUGUCUUCUUUAAUCAAGAA
rnacentral:rRNA from 1 species